rnacentral:rRNA from 1 species
GAUGAACGCUGGCGGCGUGCCUAAUACAUGCAAGUCGAACGAUCAGACGAGGAGCUUGCUCCUCUGACGUUAGCUGCGGACGGGUGAGUAACACGUGGGUAACCUACCUUGUAGAGUGGGAUAACUUCUGGAAACCAUAGCUAAUACCGCAUAAUAUUGGGAGCCACAUGUCUCAAUAUUGAAAGACGCUAUUGCUGUACCAUAAAAUGGACUCGCGUCGUAUUAGCUUGUAGGUGAGGGUAUGGCCUAACUAGGCGACGAUACAUAGCCGACCUGAGAGGGUGAUCGGCCACACUGGGACUGAGACACGGCCCAGACUCCUACGGGAGGCAGCAGUAGGGAAACUUCGGCAAUGGGGGCAACCCUGACCGAGCAACGCCGCGUGAGUGAAGAAGGGUUUCGGAUCGUAAAGCUCUGUUGUAAGUCAAGAACGGGUGUGAGAGUGGAAAGUUCACACUGUGACGGUAGCUUACCAGAAAGGGACGGCUAACUACGUG